rnacentral:rRNA from 1 species
GAUGUUAGCGGCGGACGGGUGAGUAACACGUGGGUAACCUGCCUGUAAGACUGGGAUAACUCCGGGAAACCGGAGCUAAUACCGGAUAGUUCCUUGAACCGCAUGGUUCAAGGAUGAAAGACGGUUUCGGCUGUCACUUACAGAUGGACCCGCGGCGCAUUAGCUAGUUGGUGAGGUAACGGCUCACCAAGGCGACGAUGCGUAGCCGACCUGAGAGGGUGAUCGGCCACACUGGGACUGAGACACGGCCCAGACUCCUACGGGAGGCAGCAGUAGGGAAUCUUCCGCAAUGGACGAAAGUCUGACGGAGCAACGCCGCGUGAGUGAUGAAGGUUUUCGGAUCGUAAAGCUCUGUUGUUAGGGAAGAACAAGUGCAAGAGUAACUGCUUGCACCUUGACGGUACCUAACCAGAAAGCCACGGCUAACUACGUGCCAGCAGCCGCGGUAAUACGUAGGUGGCAAGCGUUGUCCGGAAUUAUUGGGCGUAAAGGGCUCGCAGGCGGUUUCUUAAGUCUGAUGUGAAAGCCCCCGGCUCAACCGGGGAGGGUCAUUGGAAACUGGGAAACUUGAGUGCAGAAGAGGAGAGUGGAAUUCCACGUGUAGCGGUGAAAUGCGUAGA